rnacentral:rRNA from 1 species
AUGUUGCGAGCAGCCGCCCGCCUACUCAUUCCCCGACGGCUGUUGUCUCCGGCAGCCGCCACGGCAACACCUACUGUGUGGAACCUCCGCCAUUUCUCACUCUCGACGCCGCAGCCGCGCCCGGCGGAGGCGGAGAUCUUCACGCCGGCGGAAGCUCAGCGAAUGGUGCGGCUUGUUGGACUCGAGGUGCUCAAGAGGCGUCUGCGGAACAGGGAGGAUGAGGUGGUAACAUAUCAGGAGUUCCUGGACGCGUGCGUUGAGGCCGGAGCGGCGCCGACUCACAGCCGGGCGGAGGCGCUCGCGGGAGCGAUGGACCACUCGGGCACCAUUGUGCUCUUCCGGGGAAAGGUCUACCUCCAUCCUGAGAAGAUAGUAGACCUGGUUAGAAGCGCCGUGCCGCCUGUGCUCGAGAUAGAGAACGAUACGAGAAGGGAAGAGUUUGAGCUAUUGAAGAAAAAGAAAGGAGAGAUCGACCAGCAGGCGUGCAAGCAAGUGAGGCGAAUCCUCUGGUCUGGCUUCUGGUUCGUGCAAGCCACGGUCGGCCUCUGCUUCCGCUUCACAUUCUGGGAGUUCACGUGGGACGUUGUAGCGCCAAUCACCUUCUUCGUGGCCGGCGCCCACCUGCUUUCCGGCUACGCCUAUUUCCUCAUCACCUCGCGCAAGCUGUCGUAUCGGACCUACAUGGAGAGGCUGUUUAAAAUAAGGAGGAGAGAGCUUUGCACGAAGCAUGAUUUUGACAUGGAAAGGUACCUGGAAAUGGAGAGGCACAUGAGGUGUCCUCUGGGAGGUGAUUAUUCUCAAGCUGCUACAAAAGCGAUCUUCGGAGAAAUCGAGCGACGGAUGCAGGACGAGGUGAUCAGCCAUGGCGAGCCCCUCGGUGCGUUGAUGGAGAGCGGCCUCAUGCCCAUGGAGGCGGAGGCACUCGUGCAGAAGAUGGACGAGAUGAGCUUGGUGCUGCUCGUCAGGGGAAAGACCUACCUCAACCACAAGAAGAUUGUGCACCUGAUCAGAAGGGCCGUGCCAUUUGCGCUCGCCGCGGAGGACGACGUGAGAAAAGACGAAUUCAGACAACUCCAGAUGAAGAUGCAAGAGAUCGACGGCAUGGCGCACAGCCACGCCGUGCGGAUUCUAUGUUUUGGCUUCGCGUCAUUCAUACUCCAGUUUGCCCUCUUCUUCCACCUUACGUUCUGGGAGUUCUCUUGGAGUAUCAUGGAGCCGCUCGCCUACUUCUUGGCCGGACUCCAGCUGAUUUUCUGCUACGGCUAUUUCCUGCGUACCGCAAGUAAUCCGACGUUGCAGGACUUCAAGCGUAGGCUGUUCUUGGCAAGGAGGAGAAAGCUAUGUGCAAAGCUUAGUUUUGAUAUGGACAGAUACCUGAAUUUGCAGAAACAUUCUAGGGUUCCUCCUGAAGGUGAUUACUGA